UACGUAGGGUGCGAGCGUGUCCGGAAUUAUUGGGCGUAAAGAGCUUUGUAGGCGGUUUGUCGCGUCUGCUGUGAAAUCCGGGGCUCAACCCCGGACUUGCAGUGGGUACGGGCAGACUAGAGUGCGGUAGGGGAGAUUGGAAUUCCUGGUGUAGCGGUGGAAUGCGCAGAUAUCAGGAGGGAACACCAAUGGCGAAGGCAGAUCUCUGGGCCGUAACUGACGCUGAGGAGCGAAAGCAUGGGGAGCGAACAGG
rnacentral:rRNA from 1 species